AAGUCGUAACAAGGUUUCCGUAGGUGAACCUGCGGAAGGAUCAUUACAGAAUAAACCUGAUGGAUUGCUGCUGGCUCCCUUGGGAGCAAAUGUGCACAUCUAUCAUCUUUAUCUUUCCACCUGUGCACACUAUGUAGACCUGGAUACUCAUUCUAGAUGUGUUGGAUCACUCUGGCACUUAUAGGUUUUGGAGAGUGCUGUUUUGAUAGCUCUCAUCAACAUUUCCAGGUCUAUGUUCUACACUUUCAAACUCCAUAGAAUGUAUCAGAAUGAAAUUCUGGCUUUUAUAGCCAAUAAAACAUAUACAACUUUCAGCAACGGAUCUCUUGGCUCUC
rnacentral:misc_RNA from 2 species